CUCAAAGAGCUAAAACUUUCUUCUUUGGCUGGUUGUUGAAGCCUUUGGUAUAUGGAGACUAUCCGGAUGAAAUGAAGAAAACCGUG